rnacentral:rRNA from 1 species
CCUACGGGAGGCAGCAGUGGGGAAUAUUGCACAAUGGGCGGAAGCCUGAUGCAGCAACGCCGCGUGCGGGAUGACGGCCUUCGGGUUAGUAAACCGCUUUACGCCUGU